rnacentral:rRNA from 1 species
AGUGAACGCUGGCGGUAGGCCUAACACAUGCAAGUCGAACGGCAGCACAGUAAGAGCUUGCUCUUACGGGUGGCGAGUGGCGGACGGGUGAGGAAUACAUCGGAAUCUACUUUUUCGUGGGGGAUAACGUAGGGAAACUUACGCUAAUACCGCAUACGACCUACGGGUGAAAGCAGGGGAUCUUCGGACCUUGCGCGAUUGAAUGAGCCGAUGUCGGAUUAGCUAGUUGGCGGGGUAAAGGCCCACCAAGGCGACGAUCCGUAGCUGGUCUGAGAGGAUGAUCGGCCACACUGGAACUGAGACACGGUCCAGGCUCCUACGGGAGGCAGCAGUGGGGAAUAUUGGACAAUGGGCGCAAGCCUGAUCCAACCAUACCGCGUGGGUGAAGAAGGCCUUCGGGUUGUAAAGCCCUUUUGUUGGGAAAGAAAAGCAGCAGGUUAAUACCCCGCUGUUCUGACGGUACCCAAGGAAUAAGCACCGGCUAACUUCGUG